rnacentral:rRNA from 1 species
CCUACGGGGGGCAGCAGUGGGGAAUAUUGCACAAUGGGGGAAACCCUGAUGCAGCGACGCCGCGUGAGUGAAGAAGUAAUUCGUUAUGUAAAGCUCUAUCAGCAGGGAAGAAAAUGACGGUACCUGAGCAAGAAGCCCCGGCUAACUACGUGCCAGCAGCCGCGGUAAUACGUAGGGGGCAAGCGUUAUCCGGAUUUACUGGGUGUAAGGGGAGCGUAGACGGCAGUGCAAGUCUGGAGUGAAAGGCGGGGGCUCAACCCCCGGACUGCUCUGGAAACUGUACGGCGGGAGUGCAGGAGAGGUAGGUAGAAUUCCAGGUGUAGCGGUGAAAGGCGUAGAUAUUAGGAGGAACACCAGUGGCGAAGGCGGCUUACUGGACUGUAACUGACGUUGAGGCUCGAAAGCGUGGGGAGCAAACAGGAUUAGAUACCCCAGUAGUC